rnacentral:lncRNA from 1 species
CGGGGCUUGGCUCUGGAGAGUUCUCGGGGAGGCGGGCCGGGCACUCGGGUCUCGCCAGCACCCUUGGGCUCCAGGCGGCUCCUCGGCGCCGCUCCUCCCUGGCCCCGGCGGUGUCUCGGCUGGGCGCCGGGGCCCUCCAGCUCGUCCCGUCUCGGGGCUGGGCCGCCUGCAGGCCCGCUCGCUGCUGUGGCCGGAGCCAACCCAGCGCUCCGCCAGCGCCUUGCGCCCCGGGCCACCAGCCCGCCCGUCGGCACGUGUCGCAGCACCGCCUCGGCUGUGGUUCCGGGUUAGAAGGGAAGGAUUCGUGAGGCCAUCGGUCAUCGGGCGGACAUGGGGCGGGGGCAGCCCAGCCAGAGGCCAGGGCGGCGGCGGCCUGGGCGGCGGCCCCUGGGCGGCGGGCUCUGGGCGGCGGGGCCUGUGCUGGUGCAGAAGCAGUCCUGCAGGCCUGAGCGUGGGAGCCCAAGAACGGAGCGAGGACACGUCAUCCGUGCCUGAUUCUGCAGAUUGGAAGUGUGAAAUCAUCGUGUCGGCAGGGCCUCACUCCAUCUGGAGCUUCUAGAGGAGGAUCCGUUCCUCACCUCCUCCAGCUGCCCGUGGCUCCAGGCAUUCCUUGGUUUGCGGCCGCAUCACUCCACUCUCUGUCUCUGUCUUCACAUGGCCUUCUCCUUUGAGUCUCCUCCCCUCCUCUUACCAGGGGAGGAUUUAGGGCUCAAUCCUAAUCCAGGAUGAUCUCUUCUCAAGAUCCUUAACUUCUGUAAAGACCCUUUUUGCAAAUAAAGUCAUGUUCACAGUUUCCAGCGGGCAAUCUUUUGGGAGACUGCUAUUCGAACCACUGCACCUCUCCCGUUUCAAAUUUGAAAAACACGCCACACUGUAGGGCCUGGGAUCUGGCUUCCUACAGCCAACAAGGGGACAGGCAAUGCAAGCUGGAUGUGUGAGGAAGUAACUCCCAACUGACGAAGCUUGACCAAAUGGAAAACAAGAGAAGGAAGAAACCAGGGAGAUGAAUCUCGCCCUCCCUGGCCCUCCUCCCACCCCGCUGAAGAAGGCUCACGUGUUCCAGCAAGCCUGCCAGCCAAGCUGCCCAGCUCUUCCAAGCUCUUCCUGAAGACAACGCCUUCACACCCUUCUUCUCCUUCCCUCACCUCGCUUCCCACUGCGGCUCAUCCACACCUCCCA